CGAGGCCCAAUAGAAUGAAAUAAUGUAUUGGUGUACACGGAAAAGGAAUUUUGUUUUCGGUAUACAGUAUUGUUGAUUUCGGAAUAUUGUUAUAUACACAUUUUUUUGGAACGAGCUGUAAGGAAAGUUUUGAGAAGGUUUACGUUUUUGAAAAUUUGUAGUGAUACUGUUGUGAUUAGUGAGCUUGCUGAAUGUAACUCCCCCCGGGUUAUUACCCUAAUAAUUACCUCUGAAUGAAGCAACAGUUUGGCAAUCAUGAUGACUUCUGCUGAUGCCACGUAAAAAGAAAAAGGUGUAUGCCUCCGGAAAACCAUCACUGGAUUUUACUGAAGCCCCAUUAGAUGGCACUAGACAUGUAUAUGAAUCGCCAGUACUUCCAGCCUUGAAUCCUAGGCAUGUGAAUAAUGUUCUUGUUCCACAUGAUACCGGAGUGUCGUGGGUGUCUCCACAGUUUGAUUCUGCAGUGCAACUGAAAUAUCCAACAAGGCGCAGAGGUGGUCAGAGAGGCAUCAGUGUGCUGUACGGCAAAGAUAAAAGGAAUUUAUCUUGCCAGAACUCACUCUCUUUAAAAAGGAGCAAGAUUCCUGCUUUGACAUUUAAAGAGUCAACUAAAUUAUCUCGCGUAAGAAGCACUGCAGCACCAUUAGGCUGUCUUCGCUCUUCCAAGACUGGUUUGCAUUCUAGCUCUUCUGAAGAAGAUUCGCCUAUGAGACCUAACUGCUGCAUGUUGGAUAACCUUGCCCAUCCUGGAUGUGUAAAUCAAACUGCACACUGCAAUGGUUCUGUAAAUAUCUGCAAAAAUCAAGGGUGUUCAAGCCCUAGAAUGAAUGAGAUUGUGGAAUCUCUCGAUAGUACCUUUACCCCACCUUGUGUAAACACUCCUGACAUGGCCACAUGUGUCCCAUCUGGAGACAGAAGGGAUGUGACUGUUAAAAAGUUGGAUACCAUUGCAUGUCAGAAAAGUCCAUUGGUUACCUUUUUCCGUGAUAUCUGCCCUCCUAGCUGUAUACCAGAAGGAGUGCCUGCACCAGUUGUAUUGGUAUAUGAUACCCCAGAGCAUGAGUAUGGUCUAAGGAUGUCUUGGAGAAGGAAGCAGAAUCUCUCUAAUUAUCUUGAAAAUCAGCGGCAUCUUGCAAAUACUGCUUUGCCUGUGACUAAAUAGGAAUUUGAGAGUCAUCUCUGCCAUGUUUAAGAACAGACACUUGUCAACUAAUGGAACUGCUUAAGAAAACGACGCAUGCCUUCCUACCACAGUAUAUUUGAAAAAGCACUGAAAUCAGUGUGUUUAAUUGGGCGACUUGACACAGAGCUGCUGCUUAACACUUGGCACAUACUGGAUACUUAAUACUUCUAGCAUAAAGUCCUUAUGCUAGAUUAGGAAAGAGAAGAGUGACAGUUCUUCACUCUAGCAAUCAUGACCACUUCAUAAUGUGCCUGAGAGGAGACGAAUCACAAAUUCGUAGAAUGUGGAACUGCAAAGGUUUCUGAGUCAUGAAAAUCUGUACACAAAAAGAAGUCCAGUUGGAGAAAUCAGAAAAAAUCAAGAUGAUAAAGAUCGGUCUACUUGCCAACAGAUUCUGGUUCUUCUAUUUUGUCUUUCUUCACCAGAUGCGGUCAGAAAAAAAAGUUUUUUGUGACUUGGGAUGCCCUAUCCUAUGUACAUUGAAAUUGGUACUGGCCUGUGUACAAAGACUGUCCAUUCCAAAGGUCAUCUUAUUUGCUCUGGAACCUAAGCAAAAGAUUCCCAGGCAGUAACUGCAUAUGUCUGAGCCGCACUUUUUCAGUAAGGGAAGUGCCUAAAGUGUUGGAAUUCCAAGGCUGCUGCCUUUCGGCUCUAAGACAGGUCUCACCAGAUCUCCUCUCCAACAUUGGUUGACCACAGAAAGGUAACUAAAAAACAUCAUUGCUGCAUCGGUGGACAAGGCCAAUUCUUCAGUGGGAUUGACUUGAGUUCAUGCCAAGACUCCAGCAGCCUUCACCUAUACUGACAUUUUCAAAGCUUCCCUACAACCAAAAAGUGGGAGUGCUUUGUCUCAUUCUUCUAACUAAGAAGAAAAUAUUUUUAAAUUUUAUCUUUUCCCAUAAUAUAUGCUGCCAGUUAAUGAUGUCACAGCCUUACAGUCUUUGGGCUUCUCCCCAGUACAAAAAAAAAAAAAAAUGAAUGAAUGAAACUGUUAAUAUAUUGCUAAACUCUGACUUCCCCACACAUGAAUUGAAUUGUAUCCUAAACGGAGCUCACAAAUUCUGUACGUUUCACAUUGAAAAACACAUCCUGUAUUAAAAUCGGAAAUCCAGAGCUGAAAUAGUCUCUGGACCUGUGUUAUGUUAAGGGUCUACUGCAUAGGUUAUUAGAUUUUGGGUAAUGAACCCCCUCAGUCAUCAGAGAAACCGGAGUCUCCCCUAGAUAUUAAAAUAAAAAUUGAACCUCACCAUAGAAAAUAAAAGUGCUGCACUGUAUGUGGAAGUUCUACACUCCCAAUAAAAAAAAAAAAAAAACAAGCUUGAAAGUAAUCAAGAUGUGACUUGUACAUUAUUCGAUGUAUUAAUUGACUGUUCAUUUUGCAUUUAUUUUGUUGCCAAUUAAUUUAACUACUUAGCAUUUAUUUUUUCUUGGAUAUUGCAUCUUCUGAUUUGCUUGGGCAUGCACUACAAGCCCAGACCUUCCUCGUUCUGAACUACUGGCCUAGUUCACAGACUAUCCAAGAAGGUACCUGCCUAUGUUUUCCUAGAGAGUAAAUUGUUGGGCAGCUGGUAAAAAGAUUUAUACCUGUGGUGGUACAGCGGUAGCAUUGUUGCCUCACAGCAAGAGGUUCUCCUCUUCGAUUC